UCCGCAUUUUGCCUUUUAUACUGCGGAAUCGAGAGAGCGGAACAGAUAGCGCGUCAUUGCGUCCUACAUUGUCCUAUUUUGAAAUUAGUGUUUAAAGGCUGGAGGAGAGUAACAGUAGAAUAACAUUAAAAGCUAGAGUAAAAUAACAAUAGAAUAACAGUAAAUGAUCGACAUGAUGGAGUCACAGGAUUUUGUGCUAAAAGAAGUAAAUUCUGAUAAAGCACUUAUAUUGACAAUUCUAAUCGUCUAUUUAGAGUUAUAGCAGAUAUGGCUCAGGAAAAAGUGGCCAACGAUAAUGUUAGUGACAAUGAUGAACAAUCUUCCUUGUCUGUUGGAAAGAAGUAAAAACGAAACAAGGAGGAUAAAACUUGUGCUGACUAGGAUGAACUGCUAAUAAAUGCUGUUAUGAAAAGUCUACAGAAUCAUACCAUCUCAGUGAAAAACAGAAGUCUAUUAACUAUUAAAAAAGAGAAAUUCAACGUUGAGAUAAUUAAAAGCUACUGGAGAAACCUUUGUGACUCUUAUAAGAAAAGCAGACAUAAGACGACCGAGUAUAUAUCUAGUAGUUCAAAAACAUCAGUAAUCCAAAAAAAGAUGGCUUUUGAUAUUACGACCAAAUGGAAUUCUUGUGUAACUCGAUGAUUUCCAGGCUCUAAAUGAAUAAAUUCUACUAAGUUAAUUUCAAUACCAACAGUUUACAAUACAUAUAAAAUAGUCAAUUAUUUUUAAAUACAUACAAGGGUUGCUACUUAUA